GUUAUGCCGAAAUUUUAGUAGGAUUUGUUAUUAGUUUUGGGUUAAUGAUUUUUUUAUCUCUUUGCAGCGAAGAAAAACACCCUAGGACCUUGUCGGCAAUUGAAGACGGCGAAGGUCACCCGAGUGACCAACGGUCGUAUCCCAAUCGGAUACGAUGAGCGACAUCGGGCAGCACCAACUGCGGAGUAGCAUAAUGCAUUGGCCCACGACAUUGGGCAUGUCGUGCAGACCUUUUGCCCUAUGUUGUGGAAGUCUUGGAAGGCGAGCCGGAGGAGACGAAGAACACGGUGCGCAACCAAUUGUCCACAAACUACAAUUUGGAAGACAUGGACGAGGACAUGUUCACGUACCUCAAUCGGCUCUUCUCCAAACGCUACAAGUAGUAGAAAAGUGACUUGCACGAAUGUUUCCAACAAUUUGAUGAUCCGCAAGUCACUCUCGAUGAGGGUUGUCAAAAGGAGUUGAAGGACUGACAAGAUAGUUGGGUUUAGCUUUGCGGUCAUUUUCAAGAGCGGGGCUAUGUGAAGAAGGCGAAGGCGAACAAGAUCAAUCGGGAGAAGAAGAUUCUUCUCCACCAUUCGGGUUCAAGGCCUUUCUCCUAUAAGAUGGGGGCGUGAUGGAAGGAGGGUUCAAAAUUUCCGGAAAUCGACGGCUUUGCUAAUGUUUAUGUUCGGCCUGGGAAUGAGUUGACCGCGAGUCCCUUCAUGUAAGUAAUUUCUUAUGCAUUCAACAUUUACACUAAUUAUUUCAAAUUGUUUUCUAUUAAUAAUCCAUGCUUUUUUUUUCACAAGCAACUAUGGUGGAGAAGAGUCAAUCGGUGCUUCAAGAGUCCGCCUCCCAGCUUCCCUCGGACAUGCCGAUUGAGUCUGUGGAUCCCCCUGAGGAUGCAGGGUUUCACAUCAUUAUAGAGACGUUGGACCAUACUUUCGGUCGGAGGCCAGGGACUUAUUGUCGGGGGAUGGGAAAUGCCAGGCAGCAGGAUAGUAGAGCCUCAUCAUCAUCGCAGUCAAAGGGCCAGGUUACGGCUUUGACGCAAGAAGUCGCUGGGCUGAGGAGUGAGCUGGCAUCGUACAAGUCUCAAAUGUCGAUGCUUGUACAAGCCCUCAGUUCCUUCGGAAUACAUCUCCCCGAUUUUUCUGCACCAUCGCCCUCAUAGCCCUUCCACACUGAGCAAGCACAGCAAUCAGGCCCGUUGACCUCCGACCCCGUCCCCAACCAGCAGCAAGAUCCUUCGAACGACAUUCCUAUAGAUUUUUUUGCUUUUUUUUCAUAGUUUUGUUCCUGCUUUCUUUUAAAACUUUA